GUUGGGUGUCGUGGCCCAAGCCUGUUGUCCCAGCUGCUCGGGAGGUUGAGGUGGGAGGAUCCCUUGAGCCCAGGAGUUCUGGGCAGCAGUGAACCAUAAUUGUUCCACUGCACCCCAGCCUGGGCAACAAAGUGAGAUCUCAUCUCUA
rnacentral:SRP_RNA from 1 species